GACGUAGGGCGCGAGCGUUGUCCGGAUUUAUUGGGCGUAAAGAGCUCGUAGGCGGCUUGUUGCGUCGACCGUGAAAACCCGCGGCUUAACUGCGGGCUUGCGGUUGAUACGGGCGGGCUGGAGUUCGGUAGGGGAGACUGGAAUUCCUGGUGUAGCGGUGAAAUGCGCAGAUAUCAGGAAGAACACCCGUGGCUAAGGCGGCUCUCUAGUACGGUACUGACGCUGAGACGCGAAAGCGUGGGGAGCGAACAGG
rnacentral:rRNA from 1 species